GUGCGUGUGUGUGUGUGUGUGGAAAGCUGACAGAAGAAAGAUAGAGAAAGAGGAAGCAGACUUGUAGAUGUGACCGGAGCAGAGUUGGUGGAAUAAGUUUACGUUUUGAACACAGUGUGUGCGAUGUCCGAAAUAAACCCCAGACUGAAAGCCAAGCUCAUUCAUGUUUUUCACC